UGGGGAAUAUUGCACAAUGGGGGAAACCCUGAUGCAGCAACGCCGCGUGAAGGAAGACGGUUUUCGGAUUGUAAACUUCUGUUCUUAGUGAAGAAUAAUGACGGUAGCUAAGGAGCAAGCCACGGCUAACUACGUGCCAGCAGCCGCGGUAAUACGUAGGUGGCAAGCGUUGUCCGGAAUUACUGGGUGUAAAGGGAGCGCAGGCGGGAGACCAAGUCAACUGUGAAAACUACGGGCUUAACCUGUAGACUGCAGUUGAAACUGGUUUUCUUGAGUGAAGUAGAGGUUGGCGGAAUUCCGAGUGUAGCGGUGAAAUGCGUAGAUAUUCGGAGGAACACCGGUGGCGAAGGCGGCCAACUGGGCUUUAACUGACGCUGAGGCUCGAAAGUGUGGGAGCAAACAGGGUUAGAUACC
rnacentral:rRNA from 1 species